UGAGACUCUGUCUCAAAAAAAAAAAUUUUUUUUAGAGAAGAUUAGCAUGGCCGCUGUGCAAGGAUGACAUGCAAAUUUGUAAAGCGUUCCAUAUUUUG
rnacentral:snRNA from 1 species